GACGAACGCUGGCGGCGUGCUUAACACAUGCAAGUCGAACGGAAAGGCCCUGCUUUUGUGUGGUUCUCGCGUGGCGAACGGGUGAGUAACACGUGAGUAACCUGGCCUUUACGUUGUGAUAUCUUCAGGAGACUGGGGCUAAUACCUGAUAGGAGCUCCUGCUGCAUGGUGGGGGUUGGAAAGUUUCGGCGGUUGGGGAUGGACUCGCGGCUUAUCAGCUUGUUGGUGGGGUAGUUGCUUACCAAGGCUUUGGCGGGUGGUCCGCCUGAGAGGGUGAACGGGCACAUGGGGACUAAGGGAGGGAGCAGACUCCUACGGGAGACAGCAGUCGGGAAUAUUGCACAAUGGGCGGAAGCCUGAUGAAGCAACGCCGCGUGCGGGAUGACGGCCUUCGGGUUGUAAACCGCAUUAGCCUGUGACGAAGCGUGAGUGACGGUAAUGGGUAAAGAAGCACCGGCUAACUACGUG
rnacentral:rRNA from 1 species